CUAGCUGUAAACGAUGGAUACUAGGCGUUGAGAGUAUCGACCCUCUCAGUGUCGUAGCUAACGCGUUAAGUAUCCCGCCUGGGGAGUACGCGCGCAAGCGUGAAACUCAAAGGAAUUGACGGGGGCCCGCACAAGCGGUGGAGUAUGUGGUUUAAUUCGAUGCAACGCGAAGAACCUUACCAGGGCUUGGCAUGUCCGGAACCCUGCCCAAAGGCGGGGGUGCCUACGGGAACCGGAACACAGGUGGUGC
rnacentral:rRNA from 1 species